AUCCAACUGACGACUCCCAAGUGGGGCGAAACGCGCGUCGAACUGGAU
rnacentral:hammerhead_ribozyme from 1 species